rnacentral:rRNA from 1 species
CUCUUCAAUCAUACCAUCCUGAAUGUAUCCAGGAUCCUUUGAUCACAGGAGCUAAGCAGGGUGGCACAUGCAUAGUACUUGGAUGGGAGACUUGGUAAAUAUUUUCAAUGUUUUAGAAA